rnacentral:lncRNA from 1 species
UUGCCUGGUCUGUAUCAAAAGACAGAAUCUUGAUGACUAAGACAUUUUCUUUGGUACCUACAAGAAGGAUCCAGCUCUCUACUUCUAUCAGCUCCUGGAUAACUACAAGAAAGGGAACCUCCACAUCAUUCCAGACACUCCUCUGGCUGAGGAGAGAUCAGGAGAUGACAGUGAUGUGUUGAUAGACAGAGACAUCAUGGCCUCCAUGCAGAGGAAUGUGUGGAUGGACAUAUAUUUAAGGAAGACACUAAACCAGAAAAUACCACAUUACACCCUCUUAAAAGACUUCUAAGAUUGUUGUCAUGCCUACCACAGACAUUCAGAUGAUGUGUAUUCUUGAUUGUGAUUUCAUGUUUGGAGCUGAUGAAGGAGAAAGUACCUGGAAUGUCCUAGAAUUCUCAAGACCCAGGAGAUGAACAUAUGCCUGAGAAGAAGAACUAGUGUGGAACUGUCAGCCAGGUUUUUGAUGAGUGCUCAGACUGCUUCCUGAUCCGGCACCACAUUUACUAUAGUGGACAGAUGCUCUAGUCUCUGAUGAGGAGUUGCUAGCUGUUAGGAAAAACCUGGAAUGGGCUCCACUGCAUGAGGUUUGAAGUCUCCAGAGCAGCAAAGAGAGUGGGGAGUAGAACUCAUCAUCUUUAGGUCACUCAGCAUC